rnacentral:rRNA from 1 species
UACGGAGGGUGCAAGCGUUAUCCGGAUUCACUGGGUUUAAAGGGUGCGUAGGCGGAUAAGUAAGUCAGUGGUGAAAUCUCCGGGCUUAACUCGGAAACUGCCGUUGAUACUAUUUAUCUUGAAUAUCGUGGAGGUAAGCGGAAUAUGUCAUGUAGCGGUGAAAUGCUUAGAUAUGACAUAGAACACCGAUAGCGAAGGCAGCUUACUACAUGUUAAUUGACGCUGAGGCACGAAAGCGUGGGGAGCAAACAGG